rnacentral:rRNA from 1 species
AAACGUAGGAGGCUAGCGUUAUCCGGAUUUAUUGGGCGUAAAGCGCGUGCAGGCGGUCUAUCAAGUUGGAUGUGAAAGCUCCUGGCUUAGCUGGGAGAGGUCGUUCAAAACUGAUAGUCUCGAGAAUGGUAGAGGGAGGUGGAAUUCCGGGUGUAGUGGUGAAAUGCGUAGAUAUCCGGAGGAACACCAGUGGCGAAAGCGGCCUCCUGGGCCAUUUCUGACGCUAAGACGCGAAAGCUAGGGUAGC